AUUGAACGCUGGCGGCAUGCCUUACACAUGCAAGUCGAACGGUAACGCGGGGCAACCUGGCGACGAGUGGCGAACGGGUGAGUAAUGUAUGGGAACGUGCCCAGUGGUGGGGGAUAACUGCUCGAAAGAGCAGCUACUACCGCAUACCACCUGGGGGUGAAAGCGGGGGGACGCAAGACCUCCCGCCAUUGGAGCGGCCACGAUCAGAUUAGGUAGUUGGAGGGGUAAAGGCCCACCAAGCCAACGAUCUGUACCAGGUCUGAGAGGACGACCAGCCACACUGGGACGGAGACACGGCCCAGACUCCUACGGGAGGCAGCAGUGGGGGAUUUUGGACAAUGGACGCAAGUCUGAUCCAGCCAUGCCGCGUGCGGGAAGAAGGCCUUCGGGUUGUAAACCGCUUUUGUCAGGGAAGAAAAGGGCGACUCUAAUACCGUUGCCUCAUGACGGUACCUGAACAAUAAGCACCGGCUAACUACGUGCCAGCCGCCGCCGUAAGAC
rnacentral:rRNA from 1 species